GAAUAUCUAUGGCGUUGGUUGUAGCUGGCUUCUAGGAGCAUGUGCACACCCGUCAUUUUUAUCUUUCCACCUGUGCACUUAAUUUAGGCCUGGAUAACUCUCGUUCUUUUGAGCGGAUGCAAGGAUUGCUGUGUCGCAAGACCAGCUCUCUUUGAAUUUCCAGGUCUAUGUAUCUUUACAAACCCCAAAUGUAUAAUGAAGAAUGUAGUCAAUGGGCUUUUAGCCUAUAAAACAAAAUACAACUUUCAGCAACGGAUCUCUUGGCUCU
rnacentral:misc_RNA from 1 species